rnacentral:rRNA from 1 species
AUUGAACGCUGGCGGCAUGCUUUACACAUGCAAGUCGAACGGUAACAGGCCGCAAGGUGCUGACGAGUGGCGAACGGGUGAGUAAUGCAUCGGAACGUGCCCAGUCGUGGGGGAUAACGCAGCGAAAGCUGCGCUAAUACCGCAUACGAUCUAUGGAUGAAAGCGGGGGACCGUAAGGCCUCGCGCGAUUGGAGCGGCCGAUGUCAGAUUAGGUAGUUGGUGGGGUAAAGGCUCACCAAGCCAACGAUCUGUAGCUGGUCUGAGAGGACGACCAGCCACACUGGGACUGAGACACGGCCCAGACUCCUACGGGAGGCAGCAGUGGGGAAUUUUGGACAAUGGGCGCAAGCCUGAUCCAGCAAUGCCGCGUGCGGGAAGAAGGCCUUCGGGUUGUAAACUGCUUUUGUACGGAACGAAACGCGCUGAGCUAAUACCUCGGCGUAAUGACGGUACCGUAAGAAUAAGCACCGGCUAACUACGUGCCAGCCGCCGCAGUAAGAC